AUUGAACGCUGGCGGCAGGCCUAACACAUGCAAGUCGAGCGGAUGGAGGGAGCUUGCUCCUGGAUUCAGCGGCGGACGGGUGAGUAAUGCCUAGGAAUCUGCCUGGUAGUGGGGGAUAACGUCCGGAAACGGGCGCUAAUACCGCAUACGUCCUGAGGGAGAAAGUGGGGGAUCUUCGGACCUCACGCUAUCAGAUGAGCCUAGGUCGGAUUAGCUAGUUGGUGGGGUAAGGGCCUACCAAGGCGACGAUCCGUAACUGGUCUGAGAGGAUGAUCAGUCACACUGGAACUGAGACACGGUCCAGACUCCUACGGGAGGCAGCAGUGGGGAAUAUUGGACAAUGGGCGAAAGCCUGAUCCAGCCAUGCCGCGUGUGUGAAGAAGGUCUUCGGAUUGUAAAGCACUUUAAGUUGGGAGGAAGGGCAGUAAGUUAAUACCUUGCUGUUUUGACGUUACCAACAGAAUAAGCACCGGCUAACUUCGUG
rnacentral:rRNA from 1 species